GGACGCGUAGUUCAGUGGGUAGAACAACGGACUCUUAAUCCGUGUGUCGUGGGUUCAAAUCCCACCGCGUCCACCA
rnacentral:tRNA from 1 species